rnacentral:rRNA from 2 species
UGGAUCCAGACUUUGAUUCUGGCUCAGGAUGAACGCUAGCUACAGGCUUAACACAUGCAAGUCGAGGGGAAACGACAUCGAAAGCUUGCUUUUGAUGGGCGUCGACCGGCGCACGGGUGAGUAACGCGUAUCCAACCUGCCCACCACUUGGGGAUAACCUUGCGAAAGUAAGACUAAUACCCAAUGACGUCUCUAGAAGACAUCUGAAAGAGAUUAAAGAUUUAUCGGUGAUGGAUGGGGAUGCGUCUGAUUAGCUUGUUGGCGGGGUAACGGCCCACCAAGGCGACGAUCAGUAGGGGUUCUGAGAGGAAGGUCCCCCACGUUGGAACUGAGACACGGUCCAAACUCCUACGGGAGGCAGCAGUGAGGAAUAUUGGUCAAUGGGCGAGAGCCUGAACCAGCCAAGUAGCGUGCAGGAUGACGGCCCUAUGGGUUGUAAACUGCUUUUAUAAGGGAAUAAAGUGAGUCUCGUGAGACUUUUUGCAUGUACCUUAUGAAUAAGGACCGGCUAAUUCCGUGCCAGCAGCCGCGGUAAUACGGAAGGUCCGGGCGUUAUCCGGAUUUAUUGGGUCUAAAGGGAGCGUAGGCCGGAGAUUAAGCGUGUUGUGAAAUGUAGACGCUCAACGUCUGCACUGCAGCGUGAACUGGUUUCCUUGAGUACGCACAAAGUGGGCGGAAUUCGUGGUAUAGCGGUGAAAUGCUUAGAUAUCACGAAGAACUCCGAUUGCGAAGGCAGCUCACUGGAGCGCAACUGACGCUGAAGCUCGAAAGUGCGGGUAUCGAACAGGAUUAGAUACCCUGGUAGUCCGCACGGUAAACGAUGGAUGCCCGCUGUUGGUCUGAAUAGGUCAGCGGCCAAGCGAAAGCAUUAAGCAUCCCACCUGGGGAGUACGCCGGCAACGGUGCAACUCAAAGGAAUUGACGGA